AAACACACCUGAUAGGAAAACGGGGCAAAGGAAGAAGAAGAUUCCAUAAGAGUACUAGAGAUUUGGAAAAGCACCAGUGUGGAAAGAAAGAAGUUGUAUCUGGAAAAUGUAAAAGAAUUCUGUGCAAGCUGGCCAGGUUUAUCUGAAAGAGCUCUGCCCAUCUUUUCUUCCCGUCUCCCUUGCCUUUGCAGCUUACAGAGACUUAAAGAGCCCUUUGGGAAAAAGUGGCUAAGACCAGAGAUUCUUGGUGAAUGUCUUUGUUAUAGCACGGACAAUUCCCUACAAUGUCUAGCAACAAGAGGAAAGAUUCUGUGGCAUGAGACUAAGGUGAAGAGGAACUGAAGGCUUUGGAAAUGGAAGAAAAGAUAAAACUCUCUUGUGUUAGGUGUAGAAAUGUCAGAAGCACUUUUGGUUCAAAUUUAUUGUCAAAUGCUUUGGCAGGGAGUAAACAGCUUUAAAACAGUCAUACCAAAAACUAGAAGGUAUGUUGGUACUUUUAUAGUUUUGAAAAACAAAAGGGUUUAUAUAGGUUUAGGAUAGAAAUGAAUAGCAACGACAAUUUAAUAAACCAAUAAAUUCAUUAACCUUAUAUGAGCAGUACAAAGCAAUUUCUGAGCUCUUAUUAUUUACAUCAGUAGACAAAAAUCUUGAUAUGGAUGUUCAUAUAACCAUAAUGGUUUAUGUUUCAGAUGGGUAAA